CAGGGGGCUGGCAUCAUGCUCAAGUACAUCAUGGCUGGCUGCCCCUUGUUUCUGGGUACUCUCUGGGAUGUGACUGACCAUGACAUUGACUACUACACAGAAGCUCUGCUGCAGGGCUGGCUUGGAGCAGGCCCAGGGGCCCCUGUUUUCUACCAUGUAAACCAGGCCUGCCAAGCUCCCUGACUCAAGUAUCUUACUGGGGUUGCACCUAUAGCCUAUGGCUUGCCUGUCUCUCUGCAG
rnacentral:lncRNA from 1 species